UACGUAGGGUGCAAGCGUUAAUCGGAAUUACUGGGCGUAAAGCGUGCGCAGGCGGUUGGGCAAGACCGAUGUGAAAUCCCCGGGCUUAACCUGGGAAUGGCAUUGGUGACUGCUUAGCUAGAGUGUGUCAGAGGGGGGUAGAAUUCCACGAGUAGCAGUGAAAUGCGUAGAGAUGUGGAGGAAUACCGAUGGCGAAGGCAGCCCCCUGGGAUAACACUGACGCUCAGGCACGAAAGCGUGGGGAGCAAACAGG
rnacentral:rRNA from 1 species